UUAAAAAGUUGUUCUUAGUGCAGUAGGAAUAAAAAGGAACUGAAAAGUACAUAUUACAUCUUAGGUAACAUUCAUCUGAUAGGUUUAAGCUGGAAAUCUUGAAAUUUAGGAGCGCUACUUCUCUAGGAUCUUUUACUCUAAACAGGUCUUGCAGAUCAUACAGUCAGUUCAUGUACUGAUGAUGAACCAAGCUGAAGCUGUUACAUGAGAGGAUAGAAAACAGCUACAUUUGCAAUAGAUGAGUAGAAUAAUUACAGCUUGAGAUUCAGAUCAAUCUUAUUUGUAUUUGAAGCCUGGUCUUGUGAUUGAUGUAUGGCUUUAUG
rnacentral:misc_RNA from 1 species